UACGUAGGGGGCAAGCGUUGUCCGGAUUUAUUGGGCGUAAAGAGCGUGUAGGCGGCUGGGUAGGUCCGUUGUGAAAACUCGAGGCUCAACCUCGAGACGCCGAUGGAAACCCUCCAGCUAGAGUCCGGAAGAGGAGAGUGGAAUUCCCGGUGUAGCGGUGAAAUGCGCAGAUAUCGGGAAGAACACCCGUGGCGAAGGCGGCUCUCUGGGACGGUACUGACGCUGAGACGCGAAAGCGUGGGGAGCGAACAGG
rnacentral:rRNA from 1 species